GCUAAAAACAUAAAACACACACAAACAUCCACAAUCUAUAAACAAACCAUUUGACUAUCUCAGUAGAGGCGAUCGAACAGUAAUAUAUCACCCAAAGUACCGCAAGGGAACCAUUAAGCAACAAACAGCAAAGAUUAACCCUUGUACCUUUUGCAUCAUGGUUUAGCAAGAAACAUAAGGCAAGAUGAAUCACAGUCUAUUAACCCGAAACCAGAUGAGCUACCUUCAAGCAGCCUAAAGGGCGCACCCUUCUCUGUGGCAAAAGAGUGGGAAGACUUUAAGGUAGAGGCGAAACACCUACCGAAUCUGGAGAUAGCUGGCUACCCAAAAAGGAAUAUAAGUUCCACUUUAGACCCUAACACCCCUACUUAAUUACCGUCUAAAGAUAAUCAAUAGGGGUACAGCCCUAUUGAAACAGGAUACAACCUGAAUUUGAGAGAACUAACCUACUAUUCCCCCCCCCGUAGGCCUUUAAGCAGCCACCCAACAAAAAAUCGUUAAAGAAUUACCCAAAACUAACCCCAAACUAACUUAAAAACUCCAAACCAACUAAAGGUAAACCUAUUUUCAUAGGUACUACCCUGCUAAAACUAAUAAUAAGACAACCUCUCUUCACGCACCCAUCCGCUAGAAACAGAAAACCUACUAGUUAUCAACAGACUCAACAAGACAACACAACCCAAUACACACCUAUCACCACACUGUGACCCCAACACAGGUGCGUUAAAAAGAAAGACUAAAUAUUAUAAAAGGAACUCGGCAACCCAAGACCCCAACUGUUUAACAAAAACAUAACCUUUAGCCACAAACCAGUAUUAAAGGCAACGCCUGCCCAGUGAACAAUUAAACGGCCGCGGUACCCUAACCGUGCAAAGGUAGCAUAAUAAUUUGUCUAUUAAUUGUAGACCUGUAUGAAAGGCAAAAUGAGGGUCUAACUGUCUCUUAUAGUAAGUCAAUUAAACUGAUCUCCUAGUCCAAAAGCUAGGAUACUCUCAUAAGACCAGAAGACCCUGUGAAGCUUUAACUAAACUAUUAACCCUUAUAAUAGCUCCUUUAGGUUGGGGCAACCUUGGAAAAAAAAAGAACUUCCAACAUACAAUUCUACAAAUUUCACCCAGGCUAACAAGCCACUAAAGACCCAGCAAAGCUGAUAAUUGAACCAAGUUACUCCAGGGAUAACAGCGCUAUCUUCUUCAAGAGCCCAUAUCAAAAAGAAGGUUUACGACCUCGAUGUUGGAUCAGGACAUCCUAAUGGUGCAGUCGCUAUUAAGGGUUCGUUUGUUCAACGAUCAAUAGUCCUACGUGAUCUGAGUUCAGACCGGAGUAAUCCAGGUCGGUUUCUAUCUAUGAUACGCUCCACCUAGUACGAAAGGACCGGUAUAGCAAAGCCAAUACUACAAGCACGCUCUUCUAAGUAAACUUCCAUAGACCAAAACAAGGUCAAUUAAGGCGAUCAUCCUUAAUAU
rnacentral:rRNA from 1 species